AUCCAAAUUUCAAUGCACUUUUCAUAAUUAAACAAAUUAAGCCUUAAAACCGAGCGACGUAAUAGAAAGGCAAUGGGGCGUCUCACCCAUGGACGAUGUCUCCGAGGAGGUCUAAGAAUGGGAUUAAAAAAAAAAAAAGGCUGGAAUAAACCAAGAUCUACUCCUUUUUCUCUAAUUCUAGACUCUAGUAGUUUGGAUCAGUUUCAUUGUUAAAUCUAAAGAAAUUUGGAGCAUUGCUAAGUAACAUCAGAGGAAGAAAAAUCACAAGAGAUUGAUUUCCCUCCUACUACCUAACUACAGUAACCACUUAUGAAUACACAGACUCCCGGGCAUAAUCACAUUACCUCUGUAAAGUCUCACCCUAAAACUAUUUUUGGAAACUAGGGAUAUUCCAGAUUAAUGAAAUCUGUGCCGUAGUCGCUGGCUCAGGCCUGAGUUUUGCAAGGGAAGCUGCUAAAGCAGCCGCCCUCCCAGUCAUUACGAAGCUUUCGCCCUACUUCGAUACCCCUGGGAACCACAUGCUCAUCGAAGAGCUUUUUUUGGGAACCAAUGUUGUUCACAUUCCCGUUUCCUAAAAAUACUGAAAAGCAGUCCUCUCCGGAUUCCUUGCGGGUCACUUUAAGUUACAAGUUCAUGGGUACACGACCUGAGAGAACCAUUUCCACCCGCCAAUGCGGGCGAAGGUAAGCCAGACGCUUCCCUUUGUAUACUCUCAACCUGCGCCACCCAGAUGCGGAAAGUUAGAAUACGAGAGACCGGGACAAAGAGACGCACGUUCUAGACAAAUUAUCAAAGACGCACCGAGGUUAUUGUAAAUCUUGCCGACUAGAAAUUGGGGGUAAAGCUUUUAAAGCUCUCUUAUUGUGGUUAAAAAUAUUAGAAACGAGGCGGCUUCGACUUGUUUUAGCUAAACAGACCACUGAGGGGGGGGCCCCAGCGGAGAAGUCGCGCGGUCACGAGGGUCCCACCCAGCGGCCGCCGCACCCGGGCGGGCGCGAGCGCCGACGAGGCCUGAAGGGACUCGUUGGAGCGCGCCGGCCGGGCGUGGUGACGUCAGGGCGGAAGCGCACGCUGCGUGAAGCGGCCCAGAACCCGGCGGUCACGGGAAUAUCCGUCGCGCCGAGGACGCUGGUUAGUCUCAGUUCGGGUUCCGGCUGCGUUAGGCGUGCGUGCAGCUCGCUGACUAUGGCGUCCGGGCCUCACCCGACCGCGACCGCUGCCGCCGCCGCCUCGUCGGCCGCCCCUAGCGCAGGCGGCUCCAGCUCCGGGACGACGACCACGACGACGACCACGACGGGAGGAAUCCUGAUCGGCGACCGCCUCUACUCGGAAGUUUCGCUCACCAUCGACCACUCUCUGAUUCCGGAGGAGCGGCUCUCGCCCACUCCGUCCAUGCAGGACGGGCUCGACCUGCCCAGCGAGACGGACUUGCGCAUCCUGGGCUGCGAGCUCAUCCAGGCCGCCGGCAUUCUCCUCCGGCUACCGCAGGUGGCGAUGGCAACGGGGCAGGUGUUGUUUCAUCGUUUUUUCUACUCCAAAUCUUUCGUCAAACACAGUUUCGAGAUUGUUGCCAUGGCUUGUAUUAAUCUUGCAUCAAAAAUCGAAGAAGCGCCUAGAAGAAUAAGAGAUGUGAUUAAUGUAUUUCACCAUCUACGCCAGUUAAGAGGAAAAAGGACUCCAAGCCCCCUGAUCCUUGAUCAGAACUACAUUAACACCAAAAAUCAAGUUAUCAAGGCAGAGAGGAGGGUGCUAAAGGAGUUGGGAUUUUGUGUUCAUGUCAAGCAUCCCCAUAAGAUCAUUGUUAUGUAUUUACAAGUCUUAGAAUGUGAACGUAAUCAAACCCUGGUUCAAACUGCCUGGGUAGUCCAUGAUGGUAAGUCAUAGAACUCUGCCCUCUGCACUUCAGCCCAUGACCUCAGGAUGGCCUGAUUGGCUGCCCUGCUCUCCAGCCAAUCCAGUGCAAGCUCUCAUCCGAGAUUCACUGAAGUGGUCCAUAUCCAUCUGGCAGCAUCUUCUAGUUCUGUCGGGGUGUCAAAAGGAUUUGUAUAUUUGCUUCUAGAAGUAACUAUUCAACAUGCCUGUGUAUUUAAUGUAUACCUGUAACUAUCAAAAUGAAUAGUUCAUUUUUGAUAGAUUUGUUGUCCAGCCAUUAUGAAUUAAAUGAUUUUUGUUAGGAGUUUGACUAGAUUUCUAUUUUUAGUAUGUAUAGCAUGAAUUCUGCCAAAGAAAACAGCAGCUUAAAAUGGGCGCCAGGCCCAUACUUGAUGAAUUUAUAGCUGCUCCGCUAAUUGAGAAGAAAGAAGUACUUUGUUUUUAAAAGAUGUUCAUAUUAACAUAAGCACUUUAGAACUUAGACUUUGGAGGUACAAAUGUGUGAUUUGGAGUGCUGACUUAUUUAAAGGUAAAACGAGUUGUGGUCCAGCCACAGCUUCUGUCAUAGACUGUUGAUGUGCAGUACUGAAGUGAUACAAUUCUUACAUCCUGGACUUAGGACUGCCAUGCCGCUUUAGGGUCUCAGUAAAUGUUAGUGAUAUAUAGAUAUAUAGACUACUUUAUAAAAUGCAUGAAACUUUAUAUAUGUUCCAUAAAACAGAUUUUUAGCAGUUUUCAUGGGUAAGGACUUUUGAAAAAUAGUCUUUUAUCUUCAGUUUAACCUUUUAAACAAGUAAAAUUUCUUCAAUACUUUAGGGAUAUUGUGGGGAGGAUUCACUAAUACAAGUCCAGCAACUUAUUAACUGAAACAGUUACUGCUUUUAUUUAUACUUAGUCACAAAAAGGUACGUAAACAAGGCUGUUGUAUGUUUAUUGCUCUUCACUUCCCAACCUAGGUUUUCUGAAGUAGCUUAGUUUUCUUAAUAUAAUUUGGUGACUGCUUAUUGGAAAAUGCCUUUUUACCCCUCUCACAGUGUUGAGUUUUUGAAGAACUUGAUUGACACUGCUUUUCAUUAUGGAUAAAGGAGAGAUGGUCAAUAAUUAAUGGCUUGAAGUAUCAUGGGAGUGGUACAUCAUUUCUGAAACUAAUCAUGUCAGAACUUUCAGAACAUUGCUUUUCAUAGAAAUGUUUUUAAAAACCUUUACGUUCUGCUUGGAAGAAUAAUACGGAAUUAUUUUAAAGGACUUUGGUCAUAUAAGAAAGCUGACGGAAUGAUUCUGGUGUUAAAUUCUUAUCUCUUACUGAUUUCUGAGUUAAGAAUUGUUAUAUGCUAGAAUAUGAAGAUAUAAAUAUGAGAAGAAAAAAGAAUAAAGUAGAUUGAGUCUCCAAUUUUAUGUAAGCAUCAGAACUGGUUUGUUUGCAUACAAAGCUUAUGGUUGAAAUAUUUUUCAGGAAUUAUAUGAAUGACAGUCUUCGAACCAAUGUAUUUGUUCGAUUUCAACCAGAGACUAUAGCGUGUGCUUGCAUCUACCUUGCAGCUAGAGCUCUUCAGAUUCCAUUGCCAACUCGUCCCCAUUGGUUUCUUCUCUUUGGUACUACAGA